rnacentral:rRNA from 1 species
GACGAACGCUGGCGGCGUGCUUAACACAUGCAAGUCGAGCGGUAAGGCCCUUUCGGGGGUACACGAGCGGCGAACGGGUGAGUAACACGUGGGCGACCUACCCUCAGCUUCGGGAUAAGCCUGGGAAACUGGGUCUAAUACCGGAUAUGACCUUCCCUCGCAUGGGGGUUGGUGGAAAGUUUUUCGGCUGGGGAUGGGCCCGCGGCCUAUCAGCUUGUUGGUGGGGUGAUGGCCUACCAAGGCGACGACGGGGUAGCCGGCCUGAGAGGCGACCGGCCACACUGGGACUGAGAUACGGCCCAGACUCCUACGGGAGGCAGCAGUGGGGAAUAUUGCGCAAUGGGCGGAAGCCUGACGCAGCGACGCCGCGUGGGGGAUGACGGCCUUGGUUGUUAACCGUAC